CNCGACNAAUCUUACCNCUCCUUGUAUAAUAAAUAUUUUCCUUAAGGGAUUGUUUUGACUUUGAGGAACUUUAAUUAAAUAAUAACAUAUAUACUUAUGAUAAGUCUUUAAACUUACUUAUAUAUAUUUGUAAUACGUCAUCUAAACUUAUAUUAAUAAUAAUUCAAUAGUUAUUAUUGAAUCGAUGACAUAAUUGUUGUUAAUGUGAUGGAUAGUAAUAAUAAUUAAAUAUUGUUAUGGGUGUGNGUANCAUUAGUAAUAAUAACUAAUUAUUACCAUUAUAAACCACAGUAAUAAUAAUUGAUUAAAUAAUUAAAUGGAAUGAAUGAUUAAGCAAUUAGUAAUUCAUUAAUAUUUAUUACAGGUGUUGCAUGGCUGUCUUUAGUUCGUGUUGUGAAAUGUUAGGUUAAUUCCGAAAACGAACGCAAUCCUUAUCUUUAUUUAAAACUAUAUAAAGAGGUAUCUUUCCAUAAGAAGGAAUAAUUAGGGUGAAGACAAGUCCUCAUGACCCUUAUGGAGUGGGCUACAGACGUGCCACAAAUAUUUCUACAAAGGGAAGCAAAGAUGAAAGUCNGAGC
rnacentral:rRNA from 1 species